rnacentral:rRNA from 1 species
GUAGGGAUACCCGCUGAACUUAAGCAUAUCAAUAAGCGGAGGAAAAGAAACCAACAGGGAUUGCCUCAGUAACGGCGAGUGAAGCGGCAAUAGCUCAAAUUUGAAAUCUGGCUCUUUCAGGGUCCGAGUUGUAAUUUGUAGAGGAUGCUUCGGGUGUGGCUCCGGUCUAAGUUCCUUGGAACAGGACGUCAUAGAGGGUGAGAAUCCCGUAUGUGACUGGAAGCCUUCGUCCAUGUGAAGCUCCUUCGACGAGUCGAGUUGUUUGGGAAUGCAGCUCAAAAUGGGUGGUAAAUUUCAUCUAAAGCUAAAUACUGGCCAGAGACCGAUAGCGCACAAGUAGAGUGAUCGAAAGAUGAAAAGCACUUUGGAAAGAGAGUUAAAAAGUACGUGAAAUUGUUGAAAGGGAAGCGCUUGCAACCAGACUUGCUCGCGGUUGCUCAGCCGGUGUUCUCACCGGUGCACUCUUCCGCGAUCAGGCCAGCAUCGGUUUGGGCGGCUGGAUAAAGGCUCUGGGAAUGUGGCUCCUCUCGGGGAGUGUUAUAGCCCAGGGUGCAAUGCAGCCCGCCCGGAUCGAGGACCGCGCUUCGGCUAGGAUGCUGGCGUAAUGGUUGUAAGCGACCCGUCUUGAAACACGGACCAAGGAGUCUAACAUCUAUGCGAGUGUUUGGGUGUCAAACCCAUGCGCGUAAUGAAAGUGAACGGAGGUGAGAACCCUUAAGGGUGCAUCAUCGACCGAUCCUGAUGUCUUCGGAUGGAUUUGAGUAAGAGCAUAGCUGUUGGGACCCGAAAGAUGGUGA